rnacentral:rRNA from 1 species
AUUGAACGCUGGCGGAAUGCUUUACACAUGCAAGUCGAACGGCAGCGCGGACUUCGGUCUGGUGGCGAGUGGCGAACGGGUGAGUAAUGUAUCGGAACGUGCCCAGUCGUGGGGGAUAACGUAGUGAAAAUUACGCUAAUACCGCAUACGAUCUACGGAUGAAAGCGGGGGAUCGCAAGACCUCGCGCGAUUGGAGCGGCCGAUAUCAGUUUAGGUAGUUGGUGGGGUAAAGGCCCACCAAGCCAACGAUCUGUAGCUGGUCUGAGAGGACGACCAGCCACGCUGGAACUGAGACACGGUCCAGACGCCGACGGGAGGCAGCAGUGGGGAAUUUUGGACAAUGGGCGAAAGCCUGAUCCAGCCAUUCCGCGUGCAGGAUGAAGGCCCUCGGGUUGUAAACUGCUUUUGUACAGAACGAAAAGGUUUCUACUAAUACUAGGAGCUCAUGACGGUACUGUAAGAAUAAGCACCGGCUAACUACGUGCCAGCCGCCGCGGUAA